AGAUUAAGUUAUUAAGGGCGCACGGUGGAUGCCUUGGCACUAGAAGCCGAUGAAGGACGUUACUAACGACGAUAUGCUUUGGGGAGCUGUAAGUAAGCUGUGAUCCAGAGAUUUCCGAAUGGGGGAACCCAGCACGAGUUAUGUCGUGUUAUCCGCAUGUGAAUACAUAGCAUGUGAGAAGGUAGACCCGGAGAACUGAAACAUCUUAGUACCCGGAGGAAGAGAAAGAAAAAUCGAUUCCCUGAGUAGCGGCGAGCGAAACGGGAAGAGCCCAAACCAACAAGCUUGCUUGUUGGGGUUGUAGGACACUCUGUACGGAGUUACAAAGGAACAUGUUAGACGAAUAACCUGGAAAGGUUAAUCAGAGAAGGUAAAAAUCCUGUAGUCGAAAACAUCUUCCCUCCUGAGUGGAUCCUGAGUACGGCGGAGCACGUGAAAUUCCGUCGGAAUCUGGGAGGA
rnacentral:rRNA from 1 species